UGAAAUGCUUAGAUAUCACGAAGAACUCCGAUUGCGAAGGCAGCCUGCUAAGCUGCAACUGACAUUGAGGCUCGAAAGUGUGGGUAUCAAACAGGAUUAGAUACCCUGGUAGUCCACACGGUAAACGAUGAAUACUCGCUGUUUGCGAUAUACGGCAAGCGGCCAAGCGAAAGCGUUAAGUAUUCCACCUGGGGAGUACGCCGGCAACGGUGAAACUCAAAGGAAUUGACGGGGGCCCGCACAAGCGGAGGAACAUGUGGUUUAAUUCGAUGAUACGCGAGGAACCUUACCCGGGCUUAAAUUGCACUCGAAUGAUCCGGAAACGGUUCAGCUAGCAAUAGCGAGUGUGAAGGUGCUGCAUGGUUGUCGUCAGCUCGUGCCGUGAGGUGUCGGCUUAAGUGCCAUAACGAGCGCAACCCUUGUUGUCAGUUACUAACAGGUGAUGCUGAGGACUCUGACAAGACUGCCAUCGUAAGAUGUGAGGAAGGUGGGGAUGACGUCAAAUCAGCACGGCCCUUACGUCCGGGGCUACACACGUGUUACAAUGGGGGGUACAGAGGGCCGCUACCACGCGAGUGGAUGCCAAUCCCUAAAACCCCUCUCAGUUCGGACUGGAGUCUGCAACCCGACUCCACGAAGCUGGAUUCGCUAGUAAUCGCGCAUCAGCCACGGCGCGGUGAAUACGUUCCCGGGCCUUGUACACACCGCCCGUCGAGCCAUGGGAGCCGGGGGUACCUGAAGUGCGUAACCGCGAGGAUCGCCCUAGGGUAAAACUGG
rnacentral:rRNA from 1 species